AGCGUAGACGGCGAUGCAAGUCAGAUGUGAAAAACCCAUGGCUCAACCAUGGGAUUGCAUUUGAAACUGUGUUGCUAGAGUGCAGGAGAGGUAAGCGGAAUUCCUGGUGUAGCGGUGAAAUGCGUAGAUAUCAGGAGGAACACCGGUGGCGAAGGCGGCUUACUAGACUGUAACUGACGUUGAGGCUCGAAGGCGUGGGUAGCAAACA
rnacentral:rRNA from 1 species